CAGGAGAUCCCUGAGGACCACCCUGAGGACAAGAACCAUCCAGUGUCAUGAGGGGAACAUGCAGCAUUUUAUGCCUACCGAGUUAAAGCAAAGGUCGAAUUCCACAAGUCAAAAAUCAGCCCCUUUCAGAGACCCAACUCUCUGGGACGUCCAGGGGUCUGGGUUGCAUUGAGAAGAAAACUGGAAAAAAGGCUGCCUCCCUCUGUCAGUUGUCCUACCAACUCAAGCUGAGUAUCAGUGCCAGAUGUCUGGUUCCUGCCACUCUACUGCAUAGAUGCAAGCAUUGGAGACGUGAUGACUGCCCAUGGUGUUUGCAACAGUCCUG
ensembl:lncRNA